rnacentral:rRNA from 1 species
CCUACGGGUGGCAGCAGUAGGGAAUAUUGCUCAAUGGGGGAAACCCUGAAGCAGCGACGCCGCGUGGAGGAUGAAGGUUUUAGGAUUGUAAACCCCUUUUGUGAGAGAAGAUAAUGACGGUAUCUGACGAAUAAGCACCGGCUAACUCCGUGCCAGCAGCCGCGGUAAUACGUAGGGUGCAAGCGUUACCCGGAUUUACUGGGCGUAAAGAGGGCGCAGGCGGGCGUGCAAGUCAGAUGUGAAAGCCUGUAGCUUAACUACGGAACUGCAUUUGAAACUAUGAGUCUAGAGUGUGGGAGAGGUAGGUGGAAUUCUUGGUGUAGGGGUAAAAUCCGUAGAUAUCAGGAGGAAUACUCGUUGCGAAGGCGACCUGCUGGAACAUUACUGACGCUCAUGCACGAAAGCGUGGGGAGCAAACAGGAUUAGAUACCCGGGUAGUC